rnacentral:sRNA from 1 species
CAUGACUUAUUAGAAAUUUAAAUCCAAUUAUCCUAAACAUCCUUAAUAUACAUUUAAUCCAUCCUAAAUUUUUUAUAGAUCUAAUUAACUUGAAAUAUACUCACUUAAAAACGACUUACAUGACUAGUACUGUUGUGUAGGUCGUCUUUUUGUGUAGUUUUUCUAAUAGAAAA